UACGAAGGGGGCUAGCGUUGCUCGGAAUCACUGGGCGUAAAGGGUGCGUAGGCGGGUCUUUAAGUCAGGGGUGAAAUCCUGGAGCUCAACUCCAGAACUGCCUUUGAUACCGGAAGAUCUUGAGUUCGGGAGAGGUGAGUGGAACUGCGAGUGUAGAGGUGAAAUUCGUAGAUAUUCGCAAGAACACCAGUGGCGAAGGCGGCUCACUGGCCCGAUACCUGACGCUGAGGUGCGAAAGCGUGGGGAGCAAACAGGG
rnacentral:rRNA from 1 species